GCUGCGUAGCUUCGAAACCGUAGCAGUUUUCUUUGGGCAACUUUGCAGCUAGCUAGUCUACAGUAGUUUCUCUAUCAGGAUCUCCUGGAUUCCAACGGAAUUGUCAACUAGCCAAGGCCACAGCGAAGGAUCAUUUUAGAGGCAACUUCGUAGCAAACUAGUCUACAGCAGUCAAGAUCUCCUGGUUUCCAAUGAACAGUCAACCAGCCAAGGCCACAGGGAAGGAUCAAUUCCAGAGGUGACAGCGACCUCUCUGUAAAUCCUUGUAGUGUAGCGGAAAGUGUGCCAAUGGCAGGGACUUGUGAGAAGCAGCAAGUGAUAUGCUCAGUCUCUUCUUGGAGCAGUAGUCUCCGAUGAGCUCUUUGGCCAGCUGUUGUCGGAAUGCUACAAUUGACUUCAGCGUUUUGUUAUAAUCCUCUACGCACUGUGGGCAUGGAACGGCCAGUCUCUCGCCUGUCUUGAGUCUUCGCUGGACCCGAUGUGAUGGCAGUGGCAUUGGAUGCUGUUGACAUCACGCUGUCCGGUGACUUUGUCCUUCUGGAGUAUCUCGUAUUCUCCCCUGAAAAGAGAUAUACCUUAGAGAAAUACGAGGCAACCCAAUACGGUCAGAGCGAGCGGUCCCACAUGCGUAUAUGCCGUCUUCCUCCAGAUCUUCGAGGAGCUUGACUGAUGUGAAGUAAUUGAAGUAAUUGUCAAAGUAGACAUGAUGGUGUAGGUUCUUCAAAGAAUUUGACAGAUCUCUAACGACUCGAUAUGUUUGUUGGGGAGGUACUGCUUCAGUGAGGAUCUGCCUUGGAAUUUGAUCAUGGCCUCGUCAACGGCAACAUCACGGCCCAGCUUGUAUGCCGCAGAACAGCGCUCGGUGAUCAUGUUGACGAGGGGACGUACCUUACCUAUGCGAUUGCUACCGGGUGUGCCAGGAGUUGGGAGAGUGGUGUUAUCGCAGAAGUGGAGGUAGCGACGAAUAUCUCGGAAACGAUCUCGUGAUAUUUUUGAGGCAAUGGUAUUGCAGGUGUGUAGAACCGCAGAAAGAUCUCCAAGGGGGAAUCUGAUACUGGUACUCCUGUGGGCCAACAGAUUGGGUGAAAGCCACUCGUGGAUGGUCUCGAAUGGUGGGAGUCCAAGGGCAGGAACCAGGAGCAGCACUGUUUAUUGUGCAGAAGAACGUAUAGGCUGGUGACCGACCAACUGAUGGCAGUGCUCUUCACUGGCUCUGUUAAUACUAUAUAAUUAAAAUGAAUUUGACGUAGUUUCUUCAAAUAUCAAUUGUUUUGCUAUGACACUGAUGAAUGACACUGAUGGUAUUUUUAUGUUGUACUCACC